UGAUCCAGCCACGCCGCGUGGGUGAAGAAGGCCUGCGGGUUGUAAAGCCCUUUCGGUUGGGAAGAAAAUGGUUGACCUAACACGUCAACCCCCUGACAUAUCCGUGCCAGAAGCGCGGCUAACUCUGUGCCCUAGCCGCGGUAAUAAUUAGGGUGCGAGCGUUAAUCGGAAUUACUGGGCGUAAAGCGCGCGUAGGCGGUUGGAUCAACCGAGUGUGAAAUCCCCGGGCUCAACCUGGGAACUGCAUUCGAACUGUCUGGCUUCCUAUUGGAGAGGGAAAUUCAAUUUCAUGUGUAAGAACAAAAUGGGCGAUAUCUGAAGGAACAUCCGUUACUGACGCUGAUUCCUGGAGCAUGCUGAGCAAACAGGAUUAGAUACCCUGGUAGUCCACGGAUUAGAUACCCUGGUAGUCCACUCCGUAAACUAUGAGAACUGGAUGUCGGGAGGGUUAUUCUCUCUCCGUCCUGGCUAACACGUUAAGUUCUCCGCCUGGGG
rnacentral:rRNA from 1 species